UACGUAGGGGGCUAGCGUUGUCCGGAUUUAUUGGGCGUAAAGAGCGUGUAGGCGGCCAGGUAGGUCUGGUGUGAAAACUCGAGGCUUAACCUCGAGAUGUCAUCGGAAACCAUUUGGCUAGAGUCCGGAAGAGGAGAGUGGAAUUCCUGGUGUAGCGGUGAAAUGCGCAGAUAUCAGGAAGAACACCAAUGGCGAAAGCAGCUCUCUGGGCCGAUACUGACACUGAGGAGCGAAAGCGUGGGGAGCGAACAGG
rnacentral:rRNA from 1 species